GACGAACCGAGCGAACGUUGUUCGGAAUCACUGGGCUUAAAGGGCGCGUAGACGGGUGCUCAAGUCCGUGGUGAAAUCCUCCGGCUCAACCGGAGAACUGCCUCGGAUACUGGGCGUCUCGAGUGUGGUAGGGGUAUGCGGAACUAUCGGUGGAGCGGUGAAAUGCGUUGAUAUCGAUAGGAACUCCGGUGGCGAAGGCGGCAUACUGGACCACCACUGACGCUGAUGCGCGAAAGCCAGGGGAGCAAACGGG
rnacentral:rRNA from 1 species